rnacentral:rRNA from 1 species
CACGCAGGCGGUCUGUUAAAUUAGGAGUGAAAGCCCUGGGCUCAACCUGGGAAUUGCCUUUAAGACUGGCAGACUUGAAUCCAGAAGAGGGUAGUGGAAUUCCAAGUGUAGAGGUGAAAUUCGUAGAUAUUUGGAAGAACACCAGUGGCGAAGGCGACUACCUGGUCUGGCAUUGACGCUCAUGUGCGAAAGCGUGGGGAGCAAACAGGAUUAGAUACCCUGGUAGUCCACGCUGUAAACGAUGAGUGCUAGUUGUUGGGGACCAUAGGUCUUCAGUGACGCAGCUAACGCAUUAAGCACUCCGCCUGGGGAGUACGGCCGCAAGGUUAAA